rnacentral:rRNA from 1 species
AUACGUAGGUGACAAGCGUUAUCCGGAUUUACUGGGCGUAAAGGGCGUGUAGGCGGUCUUGCAAGUCAGAAGUGAAAUUCCUGAGCUCAACUCGGGCGCUGCUUCUGAAACUGCAGGACUUGAGUGCUGGAGGGGAUAGCGGAAUUCCUAGUGGAGCGGUAAAAUGCGCAGAUAUUAGGAAGAACACCGGUGGCGAAGGCGGCUAUCUGGACAGUAACUGACGCUGAGGCGCGAAAGCGUGGGGAGCAAACAGGAUUAGAUACCCUGGUAGUCCACGCGGUAAACGAUGAAUGCUAGGUGUUGCGGGUAUCGACCCCUGCAGUGCCGGAGUAAACACAAUAAGCAUUCCGCCUGGGGAGUACGGCCGCAAGGUUGAAACUCAAAUGAAUUGACGGGG